rnacentral:rRNA from 1 species
ACUGCUCAGUAACACGUCGAUAAUCUGCCUUCGGGUCUGGGAUAACCUUGGGAAACUGAGGCUAAACCCGGAUAGGGGAUUUGUCCUGGAACGGUUCAUCCUCUGAAAAGCGAUGCCCGAAGAUGGGUCGGCGGCUGAUUAGGUAGUUGGUGAGGUAAAGGCCCACCAAGCCUUAGAUCAGUAGGGGCCUUGAGAGAGGGAGCCCCGAGAAGGGCACUGAGAUACUGGCCAUAGCCCUACGGGGUGCAGCAGGCGCGGAGACUCUACAAUGCACGAAAGUGUGAUAGGGGAACCCUAAGUGCCUAUGUUUUACAUAGGCUUUUAUCAAGAGUAAAUAUCUUGGUGAAUAAGUGGUGGGUAAGACUGGUGCCAGCAGCCGCGGUAACCCCAGCGCCACAAGUGGCAGCCACAAUUAUUGGGCCUAAAGCGUCCGUAGCCGGUCUCGUAAAUUCUUUGUGAAAUCAUCAUGCUCAACAUGAUGGCGUGCAGGGGACACUGCGAGACUAGGGACCGGGAGGAGUCGGGGGUAUUCCAGGGGUAGCGGUAAAAUGUUAUAAUCCUUGGAGGACCACCUGUGGCGAAGGCGCCCGACUAGAACGGAUUCGACGGUGAGGGACGAAAGCCAGGGGAGCGAACCGGAUUAGAUACCCGAGUAGUCCUGGCUGUAAACGCUGCGAGCUAGGUGUUGCGUAUUCUUAGAGAGUACGCAGUGUCGAAGCGAAGGUGUUAAGCUCGCCGCCUGGGAAG